UCUGAUGAGGGGGAGUCUCGGGCUCACUGAGAGCAGUUCUCCCUGAGCGGCGCAGCUUGAAUUCACAGCAGAGCUCGGCAUGAGCAGACGCCCACAUACAGGACAGAACAGCACAGCACAGUAUAUCAGCAGGUCACUCACUGUGGGCUGUGCCGACCGGGGGCCUGAUGGCUGGAUCUCGAUGCAGGUUUAAGUGUUUACAUAAAGAGCCGCAGUGGAAGAAGAAUGAGCCUGUCGAAGCCUCAUAUGUAGGUGGGCAUCUCCUCCGCUGGAGUCGUGUUAAGGAAGGAUUCCCUCGCAGCCUCUGUGAACAGAAGAACAGAUCAGGAUGACCAGUAAUGGCCGUCAUUUUCCGAGAGUCACUUGCCUCUUAUGGAUAAAACAAUGCCAGCUUGAAUAUAAC